rnacentral:lncRNA from 1 species
UGUCCACGAGCUGUGAAAAGAUGGCUCCCAGCAGUGGCCAUGUUCACUCAAACUGUUGUUAGGCUAAAUGCGUGGUACCUGACUCAUUGAAGAAAUUCAAUUCAAGCUGAACCCCUAACCGGGUAACCGCCCGUGACCCCUCUGAAAUUUUCAGACAUUCUUUCGCCCACAUCCUCGGGGGAUGAGGAGACUUACAUUAGUUGAGACAUCUAUGACGAGACGUGGCCUUGAAGCAUUCCUUACGGCCACCGAGUGAGUCAGCCUUCAUGUGGAUCAGGGUCUCCGCUCUUAGAGAACCAGUCACCUGGGCACAAAUUCUGUGGUCCACAUGUGUCUCAUGGAGUCAGAUGCGUGCGGUCAGACAACAUUUGGUGCACAAACGAAAGGCCUCAUUCCACCGUGUUGGCAACCAGAAAAUGUGUUGAAGACACAACUGUAAUAGUUAAUUAAUAGUAAAAAUAACUCACAUUAACAAUGCUCAAUUAAAAUCCAGGCACCGGCAGAGCAGCCGAAAUUGAUAGGUUGAGCUCCACUCGACGUUAACAUCACUCGUUGCAAAGCACCCUGUCCAACACAUUUUUGGAUUAUAUUUUCGGCAGAAUGGAACAGUUGCAUCAUGGACCGUGAAGAUCCCCGGCCCCGAGGUCUCCGUCCAGCCUGUCCGUAAGAUGUCGCCGGAGGCUUUUGGUCUCGUCAAAGAAAGAGUUGAAGGAGGACCAGACGCAGGGGUUGAGGGGUGUAAGAAGGAAAGUUUAUUAAAACAAAAGUACCCAUUCCUGAGAUGCGAGUAGGCCAGCUCAAGGGAGAGCUGUGCGCCCUGGGGUUUGGGGCUCUAUCCUUUUCCGACAGUUGUUAACAAGGGGGUGGAAUAUUUAUUACCUGGGGAGGGGAUUUCUGGGGAGCGGGGCUUCCCACCUUUCCCCCCUACCUGGUCAGGGUUCCCUAUCUUGGGCCUGACUGCUUUGAUCUGGCUUCUUGGGGAUUGUGUUUGCAGUGCAGCCGGGACAGGGCUCUAACUUUCCC